AAAGAAAAAUUCUCAUGUAGCUUCAUCACUCGGCUCGUUAACCCACUUCACCAGCACCAUAGUAGUAGGACGGUGCUGACGACGAACCAUCUUCCUUUCCAAAAUGCUCUCAGGUUCCUUAGAGAUCACGUCUUGACCGCUUUUGGUAACUCAGUAGAAACCAGCACAUUACCUACCACCUCAUUCAGUUGUGAAACAUGGAAAGCAUAGUGUAUCCUUGAUGAAGUAGGUAACCUCAAUUUAUACGCCACCUUCCCACAGAGAUCAACAAAUCUCAUAAGGCUCAUAAUACUUCGGAGACAACUUUUCAAUAGAACGAUACACCAUUGACUGUUGCCUACAGGGCUGCAGCUUAACAAAGAUAGAAUCACCAACGUUAAAGCUUCUUUCCAUUCGAUGCUCGUCAGCCACUUGUUUCAUACGAUGUUGAGCUCGCAUCAGAUGAAACUUCAACAACAAAACCAUCUUCUCGCGCUCCUCCAAUGAUCUAGCCACGACAUCAACUUUUGUUUCUUCUGGAAGGUAUGCAAAUGUUGAGGUUGAGGCUGACCAUAAACUUCUUUAAAAGGGGUCAUUUGGAUUGAAGUAUGAAAGUUGGAAUUGUAUCAGAACUCAACUAAAGCCAACCAUUUGCUCCACAUAUGCGGUUUGUCACUACACAUACAUCUCAAAUAUGUUUCAGACAUAUGUUUACUACCUCUAUUUGCCCAUCACUUUGAGGGUGGUAAGCAUUUGAGAAGUUAAGAGCCACUCCUUGCAGACUAAACAACUCACGCCAAAAUUCGCUUAAGAAACACUGUCACGGUCACUAACAAUGGAUCUCAGAAACUCAUGAUGCUUGAAUACAUUAUCCAAGAAGGAAUAAGCUACCGAUGAAGCAGAGUAAGGGUGUGACAAGGCAACAAAGUGAGCUGCUUUGGUUAAUCUGUCUACAACCACCAAUAUCACUGAUUUUCCCGAAGACUUAGGGAGGCCAUCAAUAAAAUCUAUAGAGAUAUCUGUCCACACAGCUUCAGGUAUUGGUAAGGGUUGAAGUAAACCAGAAGAUGUCGUGGUGUCAUACUUACAGCACUGACAAGUAUCACAGCCACGAAUGAAUCUUUGAACAUCAAGUGCCAUUCCCUUCCAAUAAAAGAGACCUUUCACUCGUUAGUUAAUGACGUCUCUCCCGGAAUGACCACCAGCACUUGAAUUAUGCAGCCACUCUAAGAUUGCCUGCUUAAUCAACGGAUCAUCAGAAAUGACAAUCUUAUUCUUCCUACGCAACACUUCUUGAGACCAUGAAUAAUGUUUCUUAGACAAUGGUUUUUUCUUCAAACUCGCAAUCAACUCCUUUACUUUGUUAUCUUUAUCAUAGGUCUCAUGUAUUUGUUUCAGCAGAUCACAUUCCAACACAAAUAAGGCCAUAUGCAACACUUCAGCUCCAUCCAUUCUAGAUAAGGCGUCAUCAGCAAGAUUCUCCUUUUCCUGCUUGUAUUGGAUCUCAUAAUCAAACUCGAAGAGUUUGGGGAGCCACUUCUGUUGAAUAAGAGUGUUCAGACGCUGCUCCAAGAGAUACUUCAAACUCAUUUGAUCGGUUUUGAUAAUAAAUAUCAUACGAAAAGGUAAUGUCUCCACUUCUGAACAUCAAACACUACAGCAAUUAGUUCCUUCUCGUAAAUAGAAAGACGAAGUUGCUUCCCCUUCAAAUGUCUACUUAUAUAUGCCAAAGUGUGACCAUUUUGCAUCAAAAUCGUGCCGCUACCUUGACCACAAGCAUUAGUCUCCACCACAAACGGUUGAUCAAACCGUGGUAAAGCUAAUAUAUGUGUCUCAAAAAGCGCCUUCCUCAACUCAACAAAUGCAAGCUUUGCUUCAGCUGACCAUUGUAAACAUUCUUUAUUCGUUAAAGCCGUUAAUGGUCUGGCAAUCACUCCAAAAUCCUUCACAAACCUCCUAUAAUAACCAGCCAAUCCCAAAAACCCUCUCAAAUGUUUCAAAUUCUCAGGAAUCUUCCACUCUGCAACAGCUUUCACCUUCUCUGGAUCCGUUGACACCCCUUCUGCUUGGAUAAAAUGUCCAAGAUAUUUAACCCGUUUAGUAGCAAAGUCACACUUGCUACGCUUAGCAAAGAGGUUGUUCUGUCGCAUCAACUCAAAAACUCUGCGAAGAUAACCCAAGUGUUGCUCAAGGGUAGAGCUGUACACUAAGAUGUCAUAAAAAAAAUAUCAGAACACCCUUCCUCAAAAGCUCCUUAAAGACUGAGUUCAUUAAGCCUUGAAAGGUUGCUGGAGCGUUUGUAAGUCCAAAGGGCAUGACUGUGUAAACAUAGUGACCACUAUGAGUUUUAAACACAGUCUUAUGCACAUCUGGAGGAGACAUACACACUUGAUGAUAACCAUCGCGAAGGUCUAUCUUCGAAUAAAUCCGGGAACCACCCAACUCGUCCAUCAAAUCAUCAAUUAGAGGAAUAUGAAAUUUAUCUUUCAUAGUUGUGUUGUUAAAUCCCCUAUAAUCCACACAUAACUUCCAUGAACCAUCUUUCUUCUUAACCAGCACCACUAGAGAAGCAUAUGGACCAUAGUUUGCUUGUAUGGUACCCGCUGAGAGAAACUCUUGAACCAUCUUAUCAAUUUCAUUCUUUUGGUGUACUGCAUAGCAAUAAGACCUUUGGUUCACUUGAAUAGCACCUUCUAUCAGUGGUAUCCUAUGAUCAUGAUGACCUCUCAAUGGUGGUAAAGCUAUAGGUUCAUCAAAAAUAUAUUUAUACUUCUCAAUUAGUUUUUCCACUUCCAUCGCUAGUUCUUCAGAUCUUGUCUUAACAACUGCAGAGCACAACUGCACCUCUGUUUGCUCUGUCAACAUCUGUGUAGAAAUCGUUGACAAUUGUACUGAAUCUUCUUGAUGUUUGUUCAACUUAGCAGCUUUCACCUCCCGUAUAGAUCUUUCUCUGAUCCCAUGUAACAAGACUUUACGGCGAUCCAUUUUGAAUAACAUUGUCAAGUUUUAAAAGUCCCAAGUUAUUGGUCCCCAUUGCUGCAACCACUGAACACCCGAAACCAUAUCACAACCUCCCAAAGGAAUCAGCAUGAAAUCAAUUGUAAAAGUAAUACUGUGAAAGUUCGACUCUAACCCCUCCACAAAUGCUGACACGCCCAACUUAUGACCAUCUGCUACUGUCACUUUUGUUAAACCAGCUGGCUUAAGUGUGCAUUUCAACUUCUCAGCCACACUCUUGUCAAGAAAGUUGUGUGUUGAACCCGUGUCAAUGAGUAUGAAAAGUGAUAUUUUCCCAUGUGUUCAUUUAACUUUCAUCGUCUUGUAAUCAGAAAUGCCAUCAAUAGCAUUAACCGAAAUUUGAGCUACUUCACCUCCAUCUUCCAUUCCCAACUCCUCCUCCUCAUCAUUAAUCUCAUCAUCCUCUUCCACUUCAAUCAUGAACAACUGUGACUUCUUAUGCUUGAGAUAAUGACCAUGAAUAAACUUCUCAUCACAAAAGUAACAGAGUCCUUCAGCUCUUCUUCUACUCAUUUCUUCUUAUGAUAGAAACUUUCGUGGUUGAUUCUCUAAUGGUUUGUCUUUGUUAACUAUCAAACCCCCUUUGUAGUCAACCUCCUUCUUAUAUGGUAACACGGCCUUUGUUGCUACUGAUUGUUUAGUCUGCGACCAAACUGGUGGUGUAGCUUUCCUCGGAUGUGCCAUCUCAUAGAGUUUCCCAAGCAUCAAACAUUGGCGUACCGAUUGAGACUGAAACAUCCUUAUAUGCAUCCGAGUGUCCAUUCUCAGGCCUCAAAGAUAAGCACUGACCAAAUACUCCUCUGAAAGCUUAACUCUUGUUUUAAUCAACUCAAAUUUCCCAUGAUAAUCCACAAUACCAUCCGUCUCUUGUAACUUCUUAAGCUCAACAAUUGGAUCGUCAAACAAUUCUUCGAACCUCUCCACCAGUAGCGACUUAUACAAUGGCCAGUUGAACAAUAAAUUUUGAUUCUCUUCUUCUUGAACUACAGACUGAUGCCAUGUUGCAGCAACCAUCAAAAUAAAUCGAAGCCAAUCCUGCCUUCAUAUUCUCCGGCGUAUUAUCCAUCAUAAAUAAUUGCUCAACCUUAACUAUCCAUUCCUUCAUCUUUUUGCCGUUGAAUCUAGGAAAAUCAAGUUUCGUGAGGCGAGUCAUGCCUGAAUAGUUAUGUGGAAUACAUGAUCGUCCUCUCCCUAGAUCAGCUUGAUUCUCUUGAAUCGUUGGAGAAGUUGAAUGAAUCUGCGACGUUCGUCUGAUAUUAACGUCAUCACUCGUCAAAGCUUGAUUCUGUUGCAUUGAUAUCAAACGAAUCGCUACGAACAUCUCCGCGAAAAUUUUCUCCAUCUUCGUAUUCUAAUCCAGAAUCUUUGCAUUCUGAUCAGCUACCGUCGUCUCCAACAACUGCGUACGAUCGAGAACUUGAUCGAUCUUCGAUCCCAAGCUUCAUUCCACUUCUCGAAUCAUAGCUUCCUUCAACAACGCCUGCGAUCUAGUCUCCGCCAUCGAUGAUUCCAAUGAAAGAUCGAGCUUUGAUACCUUUAAUACCGUAAAAUAAUAUUCGAUUUGAAACAAGUAACAACAAAUCCAAUGUUCAUAAAACACCGAUUUGACUCACAAUGAUAAACUCCGACUACAAGUACGAAGCUCAAUAAACUGAGAUUUUCUGGAAAAGUUCUAGAGAAAAAUGAGAAGAAGAGAAAAUGCAACAAUAUUUUUCUGAUAUUUUCCUAACAAAAUUUGCUCUGUUUAUAAACAGAGUCAACCUAUUCAGUUACGCAGUUGACCCGAAAGAUCACGUGGAUUGCUGACUCAGCAUCCUCCUUUUAUUCUUCAUUUUAACUAUAUCACAAGGUAACAAAGUCAAAACCUAAAACAACGAGAGGUUUAGUAGCAAAAGACUACAGUCAGUCAAGCGAACAAGCAACGAAGAGGAUUUAACAGAAACAAAACUCACUUGAACUUCUUGUCUAUGAUGAAAAGCCAAGAAGCAAGUCGAAUAGCACCACACACACUGACUGACCCACAGCAAACCCGAAACAUGGAACCAAGAACUGAAACAUCCGGGACAACCCCUCUACACAAUUGCAUCUUCAUCCGAUUGAACCAAAACUUCAACCUCAUCAUAUUGUUUCAAAAUCUAAGAAGAAGCCACUAAGAAAUUAUGAGAUCAGCUAACAACGAGAAAUAAAACGAACUCUUAUGAGCUCUAUUUAAAUCAAAAUUUGAUUUUGUUGAUUUUAAAAAACAUUAUAGCAAAAUCAUAACAAAUCUCAUAAAAAUAUACAUGCCCAUUAAGUUUGGAUGAAAAUACUCAUAUAUUAACACUAUACUAUUGAAUAUGAAUGUAAACAUAGCAUCAGGAUGCAAAAUCCCAAUAUAAAAUUUUUAAAUAUUUAAGAUAUUAAAAAAUAAUAGAGUCUAAAUGUAAAAUUUACAUUUCAAAAUCCAAAAGAUUUAAAUACCACUAAAUACAAUAUACAAUAACUAGUUUUAUUAUAUUUAUUAUUUCUUAUUGACCUAAGAAUAUUCCGAAUUUGUAGAAAUAUCGACUCUAAGAGAGAGAUGCAGCUCACAGAUGGACUUUCUUUCCGGAUAUUCAAAUGAUGUUCAAAGCAUGGGCAUAUUCAAAUGAUGUUCAAAGCAUGGGCAUAUGACCAUACAUGUUGUAUUCUCAGAAUUAUAUCUUUUGAUAACUGAACGAAUCAGCUUUACAAAUAAAUUAAUUUUAGGUUUCUAAUUUUCUGAUAUUCAGAUAUAUCAUAAUUUAUACAUUAUUUUUUUAAAUAGUAUUUGGUUAUUCUACUGAUAUUUAGGGAAAGUUUCUAACAAUAUUGGAAUACCACACUGGAAUUGAUACAACUACAGGCUUCGAAGUUCGUUUCUAGUUAAACAUAAACCUUAUAUUUUGCCUUCGUUAUCCUAUAUAACAUUAAUAAUUAUGUGAAAUUUAUUAAUAAAUUAUAUAUAGGUCACAUUUUUAGAGUUUUAAAGAGAAAAAGAUAAAAAAAAUAUUAAAAACAUUAUUUGCAAAGUAUAAAAAAUCUUUGUGACUUCAUUUCGUUCCAUAGAAAUUAAAAAUCAAAUAAUUAAGGAAAUGUAUCUUUUCUUACAACAUAUAUGAUAAUAUAAUAUAUUUUCAAUAAAAUUGUUGUUCAUAUUCCAAAUUGGAACAUUUAUGGUAUUAUAUAUUGGUAAAUAUGUAUAUAUUAAGGAUAUUUGACCAAGAACAACAUCAAUAUAAAUAUACAUUCAUUUAAUGUUGUUGACUGACUUGAUUCAUCAAAUCUAUAAAUGUGCCAAAAUUUAUAAAAAAGUGAAAACAAAAUUUUAAAUAUCUUUCAAGAUUUAGAUUCACCAAAGAAAAAAUGGCUUCCUUAAGUGAUGAAAUUUUCGAUGUUAUUGGUGAACUCAUCCUUAUGAAGGAAGAAUCAAAAGAAGAUGAAGAGCACGUGAGGGGUUUGGAGAAAACUUUAAUUGAAUACCUUGAUGAAAACAAGAUUAUUUUGGACAGCCAACAUUUUGAAGCAAUCCGACAUUUAAAUAUAGAUAGAUUAAUUGAGUCUCAGCUGAAAAUCAUAGAUAAUUGUAUUGAAGAGAACAAUAAGCUUAUUGAAGCGAUGAAGGCUUGCCCAGGGGAGGAUUGCCCGUGUAGCUGCCACAGUCUUACCAAUAAAAAAACCAAUAAUUAAUAUAUGAACAUCAUUACCAUGUAGUAUCAUAUAUGAUCAAAUGUACUUUGCUUAUACAUCUAAAGCUUUGAUGGAAUAAUAAAUGAAAUCCAAAUAUGUUUUUUGUGCAUCUAUAUACAACUGAUAUUCUCAUAAUUAAAUAUAAUUGGCUUACUAAAUUGUUUUACCAAUUGGAAUAUUGGAAUAACUAAAAAUAAGUGAAAUGUUUAUUUUCUACAAAAAUCUAAUACCCAAAAAUAUGUAGAAUGAUUUUAAACCUAUGUAAAAAACAGUACCUAAUUUAUCUAAAUUUAGGAUUGGCAUGUGCUAAGCUGAAUGCAUGCGAUUUCCCCGGAUCUAGUGUCGAAUUAGUUAAUCAAGGACUAUAGGGUUUUAUUAAGAAAUGAUCAUGGUCAAAUACAAAAUUAACUUUUUUUAUUUUGUUUUGCCAUAUUCUAAAAGUUUAAUUAAUUACAAAAUAUCAUUUUUUUUUUGUCAUUCGAUUUAUGUUACUUUGGUACGGUUCUCAGAGUUUUUCUGCCUCCACGAUUAUUAAGAAAUUAGACUUUUAUUUUAUGUACAUUUUGUUGUAGAUUAGAUGAAUUGCACUUGUGGUUCGCCGAGUUCUUUCAUUACUUCGCACGAGAAUUAAACAAGGGAUACAUCUUUGCCUUUCCUCGAGUCAGGGCUUGUGUUGACAUGAGCAUAGACGACGCAAGAGAACAUGAAUAUGCGUAUAUAUGUAAUGAUUAUAAACUUAUUUUGUUGAUUGUUAUUAUGGAAAUAUAAU